rnacentral:rRNA from 1 species
GACGAACGCUGGCGGCGUGCUUAACACAUGCAAGUCGAACGGAAAGGCCCCUUUGGGGGUCCUCGAGUGGCGAACGGGUGCGUAACACGUGAGUAACCUGCCCUUGACUUCGGGAUAACUUCAGGAAACUGGGGCUAAUACCGGAUAGGAAUCCUUGCUGCAUGGGGGGGGUUGGAAAGCUUCGGCGGUUUUUGAUGGACUCACUGCUUAUCAGCUUGUUGGUGUGGUAGUGGCUUACCAAGGCUUUGACGGGUAGCCGGCCUGAGAGGGCGACCGGCCACAUUGGGACUGAGAUACGGCCCAGACUGCUACGGGAGGCAGCAGUGGGGAAUAUUGCACAAUGGGCGGAAGCCUGAUGAAGCAACGCCGCGUGCGGGAUGACGGCCUUCGGGUUGUAAACCGCUUUCAGCAGGGGCGAAGCUUGUGGUGACGGUACCUGCAGAAGAAGCACCGGCUAACUACGUG